GACGAACGCUGGCGGCGUGGAUUAGGCAUGCAAGUCGGACGGUAGGGCUUUAUCGUAAGAUAGAGUUUGAGAGUGGCGAACGGGUGAGUAACACGUAGGAAUCUACCCUUAAGACGGGGACAACCCAGGGAAACUUGGGCUAAUACCGGAUGAGAGUGCGAGAGAUUGCAUUUAAAAGGAUGGCGAAAGUUGUCGCUUAGGGAUGAGCCUGCGGUCUAUUAGUUAGUUGGUGAGGUAAGAGCUCACCAAGGCGAUGAUAGGUAGCCGGCCUGAGAGGGUGAACGGCCACAAGGGGACUGAGAUACGGCCCUUACUCUUACGGGAGGCAGCAGUGGGGAAUAUUGGGCAAUGGGCGGAAGCCUGACCCAGCCAUGCCGCGUGAAGGAAGACGGCCUUAUGGGUUGUAAACUUCUUUACUAUGCGACUAACUAGAUUUACGAGAUAAUUCUAUAGAAUGUAGCAUAGACAAAAAGCAACCGGCUAACUCCGUGCCAGCAGCCGCGGUAAAGCUACGUAGAC
rnacentral:rRNA from 1 species